rnacentral:piRNA from 1 species
AGGAAGAGAAGUCUUGAAAGAAUAGUGUGC